GCAAUUUGGCACGCAGUAUCGAAGCUAACGCGUUAAGUUCGCCGCCUGGGGAGUACGGUCGCAAGACUGAAACUCAAAGGAAUUGACGGGGGCCCGCACAAGCGGUGGAGUAUGUGGUUUAAUUCGAUGCAACGCGAAGAACCUUACCUGGUCUUGACAUGUCGAGAACUUUCCARAGAUGGAUUGGUGCCUUCGGGAACUCGAACACAGGUGCUGCAUGGCUGUCGUCAGCUCGUGUCGUGAGAUGUUGGGUUAAGUCCCGCAACGAGCGCAACCCUUGUCCUUAGUUGCCAGCACGUAAUGGUGGGAACUCUAAGGAGACCGCCGGUGACAAACCGGAGGAAGGUGGGGAUGACGUCAAGUCAUCRUGGCCCUUACGACCAGGGCUACACACGUACUACAAUGGUAGGGACAGAGGGCUGCAAACCCGCGAGGGCAAGCCAAUCCCAGAAACCCUAUCUCAGUCCGGAUUGGAGUCUGCAACUCGACUCCAUGAAGUUGGAAUCGCUAGUAAUCGCAGAUCAGCAUUGCUGCGGUGAAUACGUUCCCGGGCCUUGUACACACCGCCCGUCACACCAUGGGAGUUUGUUGCACCAGAAGCAGGUAGCUUAACCUUCGGGAGGGCGCUUGCCAUGGU
rnacentral:rRNA from 1 species